CCUACGGGGGGCAGCAGUGAGGAAUAUUGGUCAAUGGUCGUAAGCCUGAACCAGCCAAGCCGCGUGAGGGAUGAAGGUUCUAUGGAUCGUAAACCUCUUUUAUAAGGGAAUAAAGAGUGGGACGUGUCCUAGUAUGUGUGUACCUUAUGAAUAAGGAUCGGCUAACUCCGUGCCAGCAGCCGCGGUAAUACGGAGGAUCCGAGCGUUAUCCGGAUUUAUUGGGUUUAAAGGGUGCGGAGGCGGCCUUGUAAGUCAGCGGUGAAAGUCUGUGGCUCAACCCUAGAACUGCCGUUGAAACUGGGAGUCUUGAGUAUGUGUGAGGUAGGCGGAAUGCGCGGUGUAGCGGUGAAAUGCUUAGAUAUCGCGCAGAACUCCGAUUGCGAAGGCAGCCUGCCAGGUCAUGACUGACGCUGAUGCACGAAAGCGUGGGGAUCAAACAGGAUUAGAUACCCUAGUAGUC
rnacentral:rRNA from 1 species